rnacentral:lncRNA from 1 species
GGGACUUCUAAUGAGCCGAGUUUUCGGUCCAUUGUGUUACCUUGCUGCACUGAGAAGGUUUGUAGUUGUGCCAGACAUGUAUUCAUUAUAAUUGUGCUGGCUAUGAUAGGUAACAUUCUUGUCAACACCUUUACUUCUUCAACCUGCGUCACUGUGCAGACUGUCCAUGGCAAGGGCUCGGCAUCAUUGUGAAGAAUUGCAGCUUUGUCAAGGGAUCUGGAUCAGGCCGUGUAAUCUUGAGGAAUCAGCAACCAUUAGCAAAAAAAGAAAUGCAUUAAGGUACGUAAUCUUUAUGCAUCUUUUCCAGUUUACUCAUUAUCUUGAUGAUUUAAGUUGCAUGCUUUAAAAUUAUGUCAAAGAUUUGAAUUGGGGUUCACUUCAAUGAAAAAAUUGAGGUAGUUUUGAAGCUUCUCCAUUUUUCCCUGCAACCGCAGUAGAUUAUUAGACUGGAGGGUUAAUUUAAUCGAGUAACUUUACAUUCUAAGCUUAUUGUCUGUUUUGUACUUAUAUGUUCAUAUAACACCCUUAAGUCCACCUUAAUACAAUUUCGGAAUUUCCUCUAAUCCUUUCCACAAAUCGUAAAUGGUGUACAAAACGCAGCCUGGAUGUUUAUUUCGUACACAUUACUACAUGGGACAUAACAAUAUUAAGCCCCUGUUUGGCUUAGGUGAAAAUCAGAUUUUUAGUAGCUUUUAAUAAAAAUUGAUAGAAUAUGUGGUUGAAAAGUUGUGGAUUCUAUAAAAUAUGUUGUUAAAAUUAAUUGUUGAAUUUGACUUAAAUUAUUAACAAACUUUUUAGUUGAACCAAACAGGGUUUGAGCAAGAUAAAACAAGACAACUAAAAUCUUUUUCCUUGUACUUUCGAGUCCCGUCCUACUUAAUAAACAUACCGUUAGAGGAUAAUUUUGUCUUAUUCGCUCCAUAGGCUAAAAUGGCACCUGUUUUGUAUCAAUGCGACUAUGAUGCAGUUAAAUCCAAGUGGGGGUGGGUUCAAGAAGGAGAUUACUGCUUUCUCCAAUAAUAAUUAGCUCGACAAGAAAAUAAAUAAAGUACCUAAACUGUUCAGUAUGAGCAAUCUUGGCCUCUGUGGAAGCUGAUUCUCUCUCAUUAAUCUCAUACAAUUCACUGGCGCUCUCUGGAGGUGGCAACUUUCUAUUCUUUAUUGCCACAAUAAUAACCUGAGAAUCGGGAUUAAGAAAAAAAUGACUUGAGAACCUUUUUAUUUUUAUUUUAUUUUAUUAUUAUUAUUAUCUUAAAUUGUGAUAUAAUAGAUUAGCCAUGACAUUAAAUUGUGAUAUAAUAGAUAAACAAAUCACGUGUCAGCGUAUCUCACAUGUAUCGUGCACGUGUGUGUCGGUGCAUCAUACACUCUAAGCCUCUCUGAAAUAGGACCUGGCCUAGCUGAUUUGACACCAUUAAUUUGAAUGUAUGGAUGGUGCAGUCAGCAUUGAAAUCUUAAAUAUUUGAAAAUAGGCAAAAUGUGUGCACGAGCAUGUGACGGAGGGGAUAGAUACCUGUGCGAUUCUUACUAGAGGGCUUUCUUCAGGGGCUUGAAGGCGGUAGAAAGGCUUUCCGAG